GGCCCGUUGGUCAAGCGGUUAAGACACCGCCCUUUCACGGCGGUAACAUGGGUUCGAAUCCCGUACGGGUCACCA
rnacentral:tRNA from 2 species